AUUGAACGCUGGCGGCAUGCUUUACACAUGCAAGUCGAACGGCAGCACGGGUGCUUGCACCUGGUGGCGAGUGGCGGACGGGUGAGGUAAUGCAUCGGAACGUGUCCUGAAGUGGGGGAUAACGCAUCGAAAGAUGUGCUAAUACCGCAUAUUCUCUGAGGAGGAAAGUAGGGGAUCGAAAGACCUUAUGCUUUUGGAGCGGCCGAUGUCUGAUUAGCUAGUUGGUGGGGUAAUGGCUUACCAAGGCGACGAUCAGUAGUUGGUCUGAGAGGACGGCCAGCCACACUGGGACUGAGACACGGCCCAGACUCCUACGGGAGGCAGCAGUGGGGAAUUUUGGACAAUGGGCGCAAGCCUGAUCCAGCAAUGCCGCGUGAGUGAAGAAGGCCU
rnacentral:rRNA from 1 species